CAGCAGCCGCGGUAAAACGAAGGGUGCAAGCGUUAAUCGGAACUACUGGGCGUAAAGCGUGCGUAGGCGGUGAGUUGAGUCUGCCGUGAAGUCCCCGGGCUCAACCUGGGAAUGGCAGUGGAUACUGGCUCGCUAGAGUGUGUCAGAGGAUGGUGGAAUUCCCGGUGUAGCGGUGAAAUGCGUAGAGAUCGGGAGGAACAUCAGUGGCGAAGGCGGCCAUCUGGGACAACACCGACGCUGAGGCACGAAAGCGUGGGGAGCAAACAGGAUUAGAUACCCCCGUAGUCCCUGUCUCUUAUAC
rnacentral:rRNA from 1 species